CCGUGGGACACUUGCUGAGGAGGCCACUUCUCCUCACACCUUUCUCCUACCCCAGCCCUGUCCUCCAAGGUAAUCGGGCUUGACUUGGAAAGGAAAAGGCAUGAGGCUACCUGGAUUUCCUACAGAGAUUCAGCAUUGAGGGGUGAACCUUUUGGAACCCAUGAGAAGAGAGAACUGCAAGAACAGAGGAAAGUGUGACUGUCGCUUGUCAGAGGCCUCCCUCAUCUGACGUCUCAUUGACUGCUACCACAUGGCCAGCAGGUGAAACUGACAACAAUGAGUUCUUCUUGUGGAGCCAGAGAGGGAAGAGGGCCGGAACCCUGAAUGACCACGUGGAGGAAAGCUGUCCACCAACCAAAAAUGCCUGCCUUGGAACACCCAUUCAUUGCUGUGGGGGCAAGAAAUAAACUAGCAUGUCAAGCUACUGAAAUCUGGAGACCUAUUUGUUAUGGCAGCUGUGUUAUCCUGAUUAAUAGAACAUAUAUUUCAAAAAUGGAUUCAGUGCUUUCUU